UCUGCCUCUCCUCGUCCCCUUCUUUCUCCCUGCCUUGCAUCGACAAAUUGGUCUCCCCCAGUCGGGAGUCUCCUCUUCGGGUCGAUCUCUCACCAACAGGUCGACAUUUGUAGGAAUUAUUUCCUCAGAUUUCGAUCCCUCGAUCCCUAAUUUUGCCUUUUGCUAGGUUAUGUGUUCAACCAUAAUAAGAGUCCUUCUAGUUAAAUGAGGCUGUUUCUGUGGAAUCACAGUGCACAAUCGUUCAAACUUAGCUGGCUGCUGCCCAAGGGAAGUUAGCUGUACUGGAGAAGCAAAAGGAAGACACCCUGCCUGACAUAUUUGCCAUCAGCUCUCUUGGAGAGUUGCACAGUGAACUCAUUUUCCUUGUAGUCAUAAGAAAGCAUGAAAUCCAACAAUUUGUAGCCAUUAUUUUCCAUCAUAUAGAUAUUUGUACAACUCGACCAUGUUGGAGAAGCGAUAGGUAGCUGCAUGAUAUAUAUUCAUCCUGUUGCAUGUGCAUUACAAGGUUGCAGAUACACAUGAUAGCAUUGUGCGCCUCCUUGUACAUCAUUAUAAUAUGUCUACAGUCUGCUCAUUUAAUAUACAUGAAUGCCAUUCAUAUAUGCAGUGAUAUGCCUAUAUUUAAAUACAAGUAUUUGCAUAAAUCUGUAUUGCUGAAACCUCAUUUAUGCAUUUGUUUAUUGGGUAAUGCUCAUUUUAAGUCCGGGUUAUUCUUUUCCAGAGGCUAUAAUUAAGUGGCAGAGGAGUCUGAGGUGCCAUGCAGGGAAGAGUUUAACCUUGCUACGUUUGUCCAGAAGUACAAGAAGCUCCGGAAUAAUGAGUUUAAUCUUCCCACUUUUCUCUAGAAGUACAAGAAGCUCCACUGGCACUUGUUUGUCUUGCUGCGAAGAUAUCUGAUUUCCAAAUUCAACUUGUUAAAAAUAAAAAUGUUAUUCACAAUUCACAUACAAUACCACCUUAUAUGGUUUUGCCUACUUUUUCCUAUUCUUUCUCUACCAAGGUGUUGAAGUCCAUCAUCAGUGUCUGCACAGUUCAUCACCUCACUGUGUCAAAUUAUGAUUCAUCCUACAAUCAAGUAGGAAGUAGGGUGUACUAAGCAACUUUGGUGGCAACAUAUGUGUAUAUGUUUUGUUUGAUUCAUAUUGUUGGUCCGAAAAGUGGGGGACAUUUGUAUUCAGUGGACCUGAUGAUGCAUCAUGUAGUCUUCAUCACUUCACAUGCCCCUACAUUCGAUUGAUUUCCAUAUGAUCUGACUACAAGCAUUGAACCCAUGAAUGGUGUUUACAGCUGAAGGGCAGAAGAAUGAGCUACCAUAGAGGCAUGAAGUGCUUGAAAAUAUUACUUUCAUGAAGUUCCUGGAACGGGACUCUGGAAUGUGUUUCAGAGAUGGAAUUUUCUCCUCUGCGUCCCCUUCUACAGUCGGUGUAAGCAGGCCCGCACAAGACGAGACAAAAUAAUGGAAGAGGAAAAAGAGUGAUUGCCGACGCGUCUCUGACACGCUUAUGCUGGAAAAUGCAUGUACUGCAACGCGUUUGACAGGUUGGAGAUGAAAAUGGCAAAUGAAUAGUACACUUCCACCACCAUUGCAAUCUCCACCAUCAUAUGUCCCCUUUGGGCUACUCAAACAAAGGAAGAAUACCAGACUCUUCCACCUUAACCAGGAAGAGAAACAUUUAUCUUCUACCAACACAACUACAGGUAACAACGACAACAACACAGCUCAUUUUG